CAUGCUUGCCGCAUCGUUGGUUCUUGGGAUCAGACAAUCCCGAGCUAAGAGGGAAUUCGGUGCGGUAAUCGCCAAGACCGGAGCUGCCCCCGCAACUGUAAGCGGAGAGACACCGUCCUAAGACGUCACUGGGAAGACGCCCGGGAAGACUGGACGAUGUCGAUGACCCGCAAGCCAGGAGACCUGCCGCGAUAGAUAACGUCC
rnacentral:ncRNA from 2 species